rnacentral:lncRNA from 1 species
CAAUCCAGAAUUGUCUCCUUUUCCUAAAAGCAGCAGUCCCAGGAACAAAUCUGAAAAUCCAAUGGUGCAGCUGUUCUAUGGUACUUUCCUGACUGAAGGGGUUCGUGAAGGAAAACCCUUUUGUAACAAUGAGACCUUCGGCCAGUAUCCUCUUCAGGUAAACGGUUAUCGCAACUUAGACGAGUGUUUGGAAGGGGCCAUGGUGGAGGGUGAUGUUGAGCUUCUUCCCUCCGAUCACUCGGUGAAGUAUGGACAAGAGCCUACCUGUACCUGAGUAGGGAGAACCCACUGCCUCCAUAUUUUCGGAGGGUAAAAGUACAGUGAUUAACUCCUAUGCGUUGGUUUACAAAGCUACCUCCAGUGUUGACCUUUGAACUCUCAAGAUUUGAGUUUAAUCAGUCCCUUGGGCAGCCAGAGAAAAUUCACAAUAAGCUGGAAUUUCCUCAGAUUAUUUAUAUGGACAGGUACAUGUACAGGAGCAAGGAGCUUAUUCGAAAUAAGAGAGAGUGUAUUCGAAAGUUGAAGGAGGAAAUAAAAAUUCUGCAGCAAAAAUUGGAAAGGUAUGUG